ensembl:lncRNA
AUCUGUACGCGCUUCGCUGUGUUCAACGGGUGCCGCUGAGCCUCGGCAUCAGGCUGCACUCAAGCCAGGGAUGACUCAGGGUGAGAGCGGCUAAAUGACUCCAGACCUGCCGACAAACUGCGGCAUGAAUGUGCGCGGGUCGAGUCACCGGGAGGAUUUAAAUGGGACUCUGUGCGCUUGCCUGAUCAGCUGAAGCUAAAAAAGAAGAAAAGAAAAAAAAAAGAGCCCAGUUUGCAGACACCUUCCUCGAGCGCAGCGCUCCGAGAUCUAUCCGUUGCGCGUACGAGAGCACGCGAGAAGCAGAAGCUGAAACAACACAUCACCGAGGGCUGAGCGCAAUAAAAAGAAAGAAAAGAAAGAAAAAGUGCUGGUGGAACAAGCGGAGACAACCGCAGAUAUAUGCGGGAGGAAAGGAGGAGGAUCGAUUUAUCACGUCUCUCGCAUUUUGUGCCGUGGUAAUACACCGCUCUAUUACUCAUCUGACGUGAGAGUCCCUUCUCUCUCUCUCUUUCUCUCUCUGUUUUAUCUGUGUGCCUGCCCGCCUGCCUGCGGGCCUUUACAGCGGAUCGCUCGGAAAUGCCACUGACUGGUUCUUGUUGCCUCGAACUGGAGGCUGGCUACCCCCCGAAAAAACAACAAUCAGUCACAUCAGUCGGCCACAGCUCGGUCCCCGCAUCGACCUCAGCCCGCGAGAAAUCCCCCCCU